rnacentral:rRNA from 1 species
UACGAAGGGUGCAAGCGUUACUCGGAAUUACUGGGCGUAAAGCGUGCGUAGACGGUUAUUUAAGUCAGAUGUGAAAGCCCCGGGCUCAACCUGGGAAUUGCAUUUGAGACUGAAUAGCUAGGGUACGGUAGAGGGAAGCGGAAUUUCCGGUGUAGCGGUGAAAUGCGUAGAUAUCGGGAGGAACACCAGUGGCGAAGGCGACUACCUGGCCUGUUCUUGACGCUGAGGCGCGAAAGCUAGGGGAGCAAACGGG